rnacentral:misc_RNA from 1 species
GUUCAAGUGGUUGAGUUUGUUAAACUUGGACAAGUUUGGUUGAUACGAUACCCGUGCAACAGAGCCACACGAGCACCUCACUAGUCGCGAGAGUCUUAGUGAAAAGACCACCACUAGUUCUGCGCUGCAGAGAGCAACCUAAGUUACCCCAGCUCUCGAGAGAGCUCGUUGAACAGAGUCAACUGGUAAUGAUCCUUCCGCAGGUUCACCUACGGAAA